rnacentral:RNase_P_RNA from 1 species
GGAGUUGGCCAGACAGUCGCUGUACGCCAAAAGCUUGCAGAGGAAAGUCCGGGCUCCUUCGGACAAGGCGCCAGGUAACACCUGGGGGGCGUGAGCCCAUGGAAAGUGCCACAGAAAAUAUACCGCCGGCCUGGCCGGUAAGGGUGAAAAGGUGCGGUAAGAGCGCACCGCGCGACUGGCAACAGUUCGCGGCACGGUAAACCCCGCCUGGAGCAAGACCAAAUAGGGGAGUAUGCGGCUUGUCCGCGCCGCCGGUUCCGAGCGGACUCCCGGGUAGGUUGCUAGAGGCAGCCGGUGACGGCUGUCCCAGAUGAAUGAUUGUCGUUGACAGAACCCGGCUUAUUGCCAGCUCCUGCU